UACGUAGGGCGCAAGCGUUGUCCGGAAUUAUUGGGCGUAAAGAGCUCGUAGGCGGCUUGUCACGUCGGGUGUGAAAGCUUGGGGCUUAACUCCAGGUCUGCAUUGGAUACGGGCUGGCUAGAGGUAGGUAGGGGAGAACGGAAUUCCUGGUGUAGCGGUGAAAUGCGCAGAUAUCAGGAAGAACACCCGUGGCUAAGGCGGCUCGCUAGUACGGUACUGACGCUGAGACGCGAAAGCGUGGGGAGCGAACAGG
rnacentral:rRNA from 1 species